rnacentral:rRNA from 1 species
GAUGAACGCUGGCGGCGUGCCUAAUACAUGCAAGUCGAGCGAAGCGGGGACGGGUGAGUAACACGUGGAUAACCUCCUAUAAGACUGGGAUAACUUCGGGAAACCGGAGCUAAACCGGAUACUUAUAGAUGAAUCCGCGCUGCAUUAGCUGGUUGGUAAGGUAACGGCUUACCAAGGCAACGAUGCAUAGCCGACCUGAGAGGGUGGUCGGCCACACUGGAAUGGGGAAACGGUCAAAGCUCCCACGGGAGGCAGCAGGAGGGAAUCUUGCGCAAGGGGCGAAAUCCUGACGGAGCAACGCCGGGGGGGGGAGGAAGGUUUGUGGAUCGUAAAAACUGGUUAUUAGGGAAGCGGUACCUAAACAGAAAGCCACGGCUAACUACGUGCCAGCAGCCGCGGUAAUAC